rnacentral:rRNA from 1 species
GACGAACGCUGGCGGCGUGCUUAACACAUGCAAGUCGAACGGAAAGGCCCUGCUUUUGUGGGGUGCUCGAUUGGCGAACGGGUGAGUAACACGUGAGUAACCUGCCCUUGACUUUGGGAUAACUUCAGGAAACUGGGGCUAAUACCGGAUAGGAGCUCCUGCUGCAUGGUGGGGGUUGGAAAGUUUCGGCGGUUGGGGAUGGACUCGCGGCUUAUCAGCUUGUUGGUGGGGUAGUGGCUUACCAAGGCUUUGACGGGUAGCCGGCCUGAGAGGGUGACCGGACACAUUGGGACUGAGAUACGGCCCAGACUACUACGGGAGGCAGCAGUGGGGAAUAUUGCACAAUGGGCGGAAGCCUGAUGCAGCAAAGCAGCGUGCGGGAUGACGGCAUUCGGGUUGUAAACCGAUUUCGCCUGUGACGAAGCGUGAGUGACGGUAAUGGGUAAAGAAGCACCGGCUAACUACGUG